UUUCUGGAGUUAAGGGAGAAUGUAUUGUAACAGUUUACAAACUGCUACAAUUAAUUAUAAUUAAUCACAAAAUUUACUUAAAAUACCGUUAAUAAAUUCCCCUCUGAAACGCCCAUGAACCAAGUGGACGAAUUGGGUAUAAGCGCUGUUUGCUGGCAGAAGCCGCAGUGCGAGGAGAAAUUGGUCAGUUAUUUUCCAGAACUCUCUCUGAGUGUGUAUCAUAUUUAUUCCUUCGUGGUGGACCUGAGUUAAAUUUAACAGAAAAUAAUGUAACAGUUUACAAACUGCUACAAUUAAUUAUAAUUAAUCACAAAAUUCACUUAAAAUACCGUUAAUAAAUUCCCCUCUGAAACGCCCAUGAACCAAGUGGACGAAUUGGGUAUAAGCGCUGUUUGCUGGCAGAAGCCGCGGUGCGAGGAGAAAUUGGUCAGUUAUUGGCCAGAACUCUCUCUGAGUGUGUAUCAUAUUUAUUCCUUCGUGGUGGACCUGAGUUAAAUUUAACAGAAAAUACAUUAAAUGGACUAGAAACAUCAAAAGAACAUCGAAUACCGUAAUACAAGAAGAUUCAAAUCAAGAGAAACAUAAAAGAACAGCAGUUAAAUAUUAAAUCACACAAAAAGAAUUAUCACAUGGCUUUGAAGAAGCGAUGCACACUCUAAGACUCAGGCUCCACCACGACAUUGUGGGUUCCCAAAAAUAAUUGUGGGUUUACCCAUAUAAUAUAUUGCAUAUUUGAACAUAUUAGAACAUUGAACAUAGACCAUUACCUAGGAAUUCAACUCACACAGCAGCACUUCCACCCAGCAGUUAACCUGUCUUUCAUGGUACCCAGAAGAUAUUCUUAAGUGGACCCAUAUCUCUUGUUGCCUGAAAUAGCUGUUGAUUGGAAAAGAUAAGAUUGUUUUUUUUUUCUUUAAUUACAUCUACUUGUGUGAGCUUAAUUAUAUGUGCAUAUAAUCAAGCAAAACUAUAUAGAAUUAUCUUUAUAAACAGGGGGGUUUGUUUUUGGUUUUUCUUUAAUAAUGUAAUGGUAAAUAAUAAGUCACUAAGUCAGUUUUAAAAUAAUUAAGGGUUAUCAAAAUUUAGAUAGAGGGUUUUUGUUUGAGAAAAGUAAAAGUAUAGGGUUUUCACUAGUAUGUAAAAAAAAGAGAUUCUGACCGAGCUCACUUAUCUACAUAACAAAUUAUAAAGUUUCUCAUUUAAAGCAAUACUUAUUUGCUACUUUAAGUAGAUUUUGUUGUUAUUCAUCAGGGUGAAUACUUCACCUCCAUUUUAAUUUCUGCUAGGUAAAGCAGUUAUUUGUGUUAACCGUAACGGUUUUAUUCUUCUUUUUCUGUGCUUUACCUAGACGAGGAUAUUUAAAGUUAAUUAACUAACCGUAGUGUUAAGACUUAUGCUAUUCACAUGGACUUAUGAUUAGUUAUCUCUACUAACCUUUGCUUUGCCAGUAGUGAUGUUUCAUUUUUGAUAGCGGCUUUUAGGUCCUCUUUACUACCUACGCAUCACUACUGUUCCAGUUUUAUGUAUAUUUGUAUCAACUCGUUCUACGUUGUUGAAUAAAGAUUAUAGAUUAUAUAUUUGUUAAUAUAUUUGUCGUUACUAUUUUGCAUUUUAUUUCAGUUCUUACUAACAGUAUAUAACAGCAUUGCAAGUAAGUAGUUAUUUCUUAGUGUUUCAGGUUAUCGUCUCAAUUGUCAUUUAUUUAGUUUAUUUCUUGUCGUUCGUUACUUAAAAAAAA
rnacentral:lncRNA from 1 species